rnacentral:rRNA from 1 species
AUUUCAUGCUGAAUAUACCGGUUCUCGUUAGAUCACCGAAGUUAAGCAUCAUUGGGCGCGGUCAGUACUUGGGUGGGUGACCACCUGGGAACACCGCGUGCCGUU